rnacentral:sRNA from 1 species
UCACUAUUUCGAAUGCUCGGAGGUGGUC